UGUGAGGCAUGCUGGAGGUAUCAGAAGUGCGAAUGCUGACAUAAGUAACGAUAAAGCGGGUGAAAAGCCCGCUCGCCGGAAGACCAAGGGUUCCUGUCCAACGUUAAUCGGGGCAGGGUGAGUCGACUCCUAAGGCGAGGCCGAAAGGCGUAGUCGAUGGGAAACAGGUUAAUAUUCCUGUACUUGGUGUUACUGCGAAGGGGGGACGGAGAAGGCUAUGUUGGCCGGGCGACGGUUGUCCCGGUUUAAGCGUGU
rnacentral:rRNA from 1 species